UCCUACGGGAGGGCAGCAGUGGGGAAUAUUGGACAAUGGGCGCAAGCCUGAUCCAGCCAUACCGCGUGGGUGAAGAAGGCCUUCGGGUUGUAAAGCCCUUUUGUUGGGAAAGAAAAGCAUUCGGUUAAUACCCGGGUGUUCUGACGGUACCCAAAGAAUAAGCACCGGCUAACUUCGUGCCAGCAGCCGCGGUAAUACGAAGGGUGCAAGCGUUACUCGGAAUUACUGGGCGUAAAGCGUGCGUAGGUGGUGGUUUAAGUCCGUUGUGAAAGCCCUGGGCUCAACCUGGGAAUUGCAGUGGAUACUGGAUCACUAGAGUGUGGUAGAGGAUAGUGGAAUUUCCGGUGUAGCAGUGAAAUGCGUAGAGAUCGGAAGGAACAUCUGUGGCGAAGGCGACUAUCUGGGCCAACACUGACACUGAGGCACGAAAGCGUGGGGAGCAAACAGGAUUAAUUACCCCUGGUAGA
rnacentral:rRNA from 1 species